ACUACCUACGGGGCGCAGCAGUGAGGAAUAUUGGUCAAUGGGCGGGAGCCUGAACCAGCCAUGCCGCGUGAAGGCGAGUGCCCUACGGGCGUUAAACUUCUUUUGUGCGGGAGCAAUAAGGGCCACGUGUGGCCCGAUGAGAGUACCGCACGAAUAAGCAUCGGCUAACUCCGUGCCAGCAGCCGCGGUAAUACGGGGGAUGCGAGCGUUAUCCGGAUUUAUUGGGUUUAAAGGGUGCGUAGGCGGGAUGCCAAGUCAGCGGUAAAAAUGCGGUGCUCAACGCCGUCGAGCCGUUGAAACUGGCG
rnacentral:rRNA from 1 species